UAGAAAGAUAACAUGUCUUUUAAAUCACACAAAAACACAGCUGGGUUACAUCAGCUCAUGUUUUUACUAAGUUAUAUUUUCUAUUUAGUGUUGCUUUGAACUGAAUCGGCACUGCCUGUGCAACAUUUGGCAAUCAAACCUUUCCUUAGUACAUGAAUGUGAGGUGGAUGGAGAUGUCUUUGACGAGCUUGCCAAGUCAGGUGUUUUGACUUUCAAGGUCCUUUUAUCAGUGACAGGUAAGAAUGUGAAAAUAUUUGAAAAUGCAUGAGGUGGUUUAGAUAUCACAGGCAGUGUGGACCCCAUCAGGUACCUUGGUUUUGUCCAAAUGAGAUAUUGUUGUCAUGAUC